rnacentral:rRNA from 1 species
UACGUAGGGGGCGAGCGUUGUCCGGAUUCAUUGGGCGUAAAGAGCUCGUAGGCGGUUCGGUAAGUCAGGUGUGAAAUCUCCACGCUCAACGUGGAGGGGCCACCUGAUACUGCCGUGACUCGAGUCCGGUAGGGGAGUGUGGAAUUCCCGGUGUAGCGGUGAAAUGCGCAGAGUAUCGGGAGGAACACCAGUGGCGAAGGCGGCACUCUGGGCCGGAACUGACGCUGAGGAGCGAAAGCGUGGGGAGCGAACAGG